AAGUCGUAACAAGGUUUCCGUAGGUGAACCUGCGGAAGGAUCAUCAAUGAAAAAAUCCAGCCAAAACACUUGGGCAUUCUAGCCUGGCUGGUUGUCUUUAGGGAAACCUUUGACAUCAAGUAGGUCUAACUUUAGACCAGGGAAUUGACGGAAAACAAAUUAGACCAGAAAUUGGUCAAGGUAAACUUUCAGGUUCAAGUUUAACUCUUGACCUGAUAUUUACACUAGAAAAAAAAACAACUUUCGGCAACGGAUCUCUCGGCUCUCC
rnacentral:misc_RNA from 1 species